ACUCCUACGGGAGGCAGCAGUAGGGAAUCUUCCACAAUGGACGCAAGUCUGAUGGAGCAACGCCGCGUGGAUGAAGAAGGUCUUCGGAUCGUAAAAUCCUGUUGUUGAAGAAGAACGGUUGUGAGAGUAACUGCUCAUAACGUGACGGUAAUCAACC
rnacentral:rRNA from 1 species